UACGGAGGGUGCAAGCGUUGUCCGGAUUUAUUGGGUUUAAAGGGCGCGUAGGUGGCCCUAUAAGUCAGUGGUGAAAGUCUGCAGCUUAACUGUAGAACUGCCAUUGAUACUGUAGGGCUUGAGUACUGAUGAGGUAGGCGGAAUUGAUAGUGUAGCGGUGAAAUGCAUAGAUAUUAUCAAGAACACCGAUUGCGAAGGCAGCUUACUAAGGAGUUACUGACACUGAGGCACGAAAGCGUGGGGAUCAAACGGG
rnacentral:rRNA from 1 species